ensembl:lncRNA
CAGUGAAGUGAUCUCCUGCAGUUUAUUUUUUUCUCCUACUGAAUUAACUUCAGAAUGAAUAUCCACUGUCUCCUCUUCUACUGCUGCUUCUUCUUCUCAGCGCUGUGUAGCGGUGGGCUCAUCAGUGCAAAAACAAUCACCCACACAGAAGGAGGCAGUAUCACUGUGGAGUGCUCCUUCUCUUUAUCUGGAAGAAAAAAGUUUCUCUGUAAGGACAAAUGCGAAGAAGGAGACGUUCUCAUUGAAACAGAAGACGACGCAGCUCAAAGGGGCCGAUACAGCAUCCAGUAUGAAGAGGGAUCUUUUCCAGUAUCGUCUACAGUUCUGUAUGUGAGCUUCACAGAGCUGACAAAGUCCGACUCUGGACGAUACUCGUGUGGUUUAGAACGGCCUCUCUUACCAGACUCAUAUCAGGAGUUUGAAGUCAGAGUUAUAGAUGCCUUGAAGACUUUCCCCGAGACACUGAGGCAGGUUGAACAGCAGCAGACUGACGAAACAGCUCAGGCUCUUAGCUUUAAAGCUCAUGUCCUGCCUCUGGUCACAUGUGUCACUGUGCUGUUUGCUGCUGUUGUGUUGCUCUUCUACAAAUGGAUCAGAAUAAGGGAUCCUGAUGCUUUGACCACCAGGAGGCAGUCAGACACAAAGAACAACACAAGCAGAAACCUGGAGUUUCCCACAUGCAGGAAGUGCUCUCCGGUCUCUAGAUGUGCAGACUUCACCUCCCCAGUGGAUGAAACCUGCAGCAAUCAGAAUAAAAUCUAC